AUGGGUGAUGUUGAGAAAGGCAAGAAGAUUUUUGUUCAGAAGUGCAGCCAGUGCCACACUGUGUAAAAGGGAGGCAAGCACAAGACUGGGCCUAACCUCCACGGUCUCUCUGGGCAGAAGAUACGUCAGGCCAUUGGAUUCUCUUAUACUGACGCCAAUGAGAACAAAGGAAUCACUUGGGGAGAGGAUGGAGUAUUUGGAGAAUUCCAAGAAGUAUAUCCCUGGAACAAAAAUGAUCUUUGCCAGCAUUAGGAAGAAGGCAAAAAGAGCAGACUUGAUAGCUUAUCUCAAAAAAGCGACUAAUGAAUAAUAAUUGGCCACUGCCUUAUUUAUUACAACAAAUGUCUCAUGACUUUUCAAUGUGUAUCAUACUCUAAUAGAUUUUGUACACUGGAAUUCAGAUCAUGAAUGACUGACAGAAUAUUUUAUUGGGCAGUCCUGAUUUAAAAUGAAGACUGGCUUGUGGUUAAAGGAAUAUGUUCAGUUUUUGAAUUUUAAUAGUAAUUCCCAUUCAGUAAAUGCAAUCACUGUUUACCCCUUCCAAAGAUAUGAUUAGACUUUGUUAGUAAUGUUCAGCUUUUCACAAAGAUGGUGAGUGCCAUCUUAAAAUGUACUAGAGAUUGGUUUUAUAUCUAGAUUUAUUUAACUGGUUAUGUGAAUAUAUUUAAAUACUGGGGAAAUUCCUUCACUGUCUCAGAACCAAGCAAGAUUCACCUGUGUUUUGUGUUCAGUUGCCUUUUAAAGGCAAGGGUUGAAGAUAAAUAAGGUAGCAAUGUCUAUUUUUUGUAUUUUUGGCCUUAAUUAUGCCAAUCUAAUUAGAAUUAUCUGUGUUUAAAAUGGUUCCUUUUACUUAUUGAAAGGCACUCUAGUGUGGUUUAUGUGUAAUAUCAAAGAUUAUUUAACACCUCUCA